GUAGAACGCUGAAGAGAGGAGCUUGCUCUUCUUGGAUGAGUUGCGAACGGGUGAGUAACGCGUAGGUAACCUGCCUUGUAGCGGGGGAUAACUAUUGGAAACGAUAGCUAAUACCGCAUAACAAUGGAUGACACAUGUCAUUUAUUUGAAAGGGGCAAUUGCUCCACUACAAGAUGGACCUGCGUUGUAUUAGCUAGUAGGUGAGGUAACGGCUCACCUAGGCGACGAUACAUAGCCGACCUGAGAGGGUGAUCGGCCACACUGGGACUGAGACACGGCCCAGACUCCUACGGGAGGCAGCAGUAGGGAAUCUUCGGCAAUGGGGGCAACCCUGACCGAGCAACGCCGCGUGAGUGAAGAAGGUUUUCGGAUCGUAAAGCUCUGUUGUAAGUCAAGAACGAGUGUGAGAGUGGAAAGUUCACACUGUGACGGUAGCUUACCAGAAAGGGACGGCUAACUACGUGCCAGCAGCCGCGGUAAUACGUAGGUCCCGAGCGUUGUCCGGAUUUAUUGGGCGUAAAGCGAGCGCAGGCGGUUUGAUAAGUCUGAAGUUAAAGGCUGUGGCUCAACCAUAGUUCGCUUUGGAAACUGUCAAACUUGAGUGCAGAAGGGGAGAGUGGAAUUCCAUGUGUAGCGGUGAAAUGCGUAGAUAUAUGGAGGAACACCGGUGGCGAAAGCGGCUCUCUGGUCUGUAACUGACGCUGAGGCUCGAAAGCGUGGGGAGCGAACAGGAUUAGAUACCCUGGUAGUCCACGCCGUAAACGAUGAGUGCUAGGUGUUGGAUCCUUUCCGGGAUUCAGUGCCGCAGCUAACGCAUUAAGCACUCCGCCUGGGGAGUACGACCGCAAGGUUGAAACUCAAAGGAAUUGACGGGGGCCCGCACAAGCGGUGGAGCAUGUGGUUUAAUUCGAAGCAACGCGAAGAACCUUACCAGGUCUUGACAUCCCGAUGCUAUUUCUAGAGAUAGAAAGUUACUUCGGUACAUCGGUGACAGGUGGUGCAUGGUUGUCGUCAGCUCGUGUCGUGAGAUGUUGGGUUAAGUCCCGCAACGAGCGCAACCCCUAUUGUUAGUUGCCAUCAUUCAGUUGGGCACUCUAGCGAGACUGCCGGUAAUAAACCGGAGGAAGGUGGGGAUGACGUCAAAUCAUCAUGCCCCUUAUGACCUGGGCUACACACGUGCUACAAUGGUUGGUACAACGAGUUGCGAGUCGGUGACGGCAAGCUAAUCUCUUAAAGCCAAUCUCAGUUCGGAUUGUAGGCUGCAACUCGCCUACAUGAAGUCGGAAUCGCUAGUAAUCGCGGAUCAGCACGCCGCGGUGAAUACGUUCCCGGGCCUUGUACACACCGCCCGUCACACCACGAGAGUUUGUAACACCCGAAGUCGGUGAGGUAACCUUU
rnacentral:rRNA from 1 species